UACGAAGGGGGCUAGCGUUGCUCGGAAUCACUGGGCGUAAAGCGCACGUAGGCGGCUUACUAAGUCAGGGGUGAAAUCCCGGAGCUCAACUCCAGAACUGCCUUUGAUACUGAAGAUCUUGAGUUCGGGGAGAGGUGAGUGGAACUGCGAGUGUAGAGGUGAAAUUCGUAGAUAUUCGCAAGAACACCAGUGGCGAAGGCGGCUCACUGGCCCGAUACUGGACGCUGAGGCAC
rnacentral:rRNA from 1 species